rnacentral:lncRNA from 1 species
GAUGGCCAUCUCACGAAAAUGAACACAUCUUGCUCAAACAGUGCUUGCAAGGCAGUUUUGGGUGCUGUUUUAGCACUUAGUCAAAUUCGGCUAAGUCCUGGCGCGAGCAGUUUGCUCGAUCGAAUUUGCGAGCUUCAUAUCUUUCAAUCCAAGCCGAUCUGGCUCUUGCUCCAGUUGACAAUGUUGUAGAACUCAGCUAGUACUUCAACUUUGUUAACUACACCAUCUCCUAACUCGCCUUGGUUUGGAAGAUAAUCAUCGUCGAAGUUGCUCUAUCACCGGGUCGGGCGUCAACAUAAUGGCCGCAGUCACCUAUCAGCUCCUUUUCGGAACCAUGCCCCUAAAACCGACAUACAUUCAGCUCCAGAUGGCAGAUCAGACAUUCUGAAAGGUUGAAGGUAUAGUAACUGAUGUCCCUGUCAAAAUAGACGAUCAUUUUGUCCAUACAGACUUUCAGGUUAUUGACAUGGGAGAAGACGAGUACGAUCCACCCAUCAUCCUUGGGAGACCGUUCCUCAGCACCGUUAAAGCAAUCAUCUACAUUGGAACCGAAGAAGUCCACAUGCACUUCCCUUCUGAGAAGGUAUGCCGCUAUUUUGCUGAUCCUAACUAUAUAGUUGAAGACUCUAAGCUGGUCAGGACAAGAAGAAGACGACGCAACCGCAACCAGAGGAGGCAAAUCAUCAAGGACGGAUGGUCAGACUACGAAGGAGAAGUGGUAAGGUCUGAAGACAUACAACUUGAACAGAACUGUCCUGAGGAGACCGUAGCACCGAGUCAGGUGUGGAGAGAGAAGAUAGUUAUACACGAAGAGGAGGCGCCGCCGGAACCACCGACUACGCCAUCCAGCGAAUCCCAGGACGACUGAGAAAACAGAGAGUCCCAUUCAGGAGGACUUAAAAACACCGAACGCCUUGCCUAGAGGUAAACUUGAUAGUUAUCCUUUUCCUUUUAAUUAUUUAAAAUAGUUUGCUUAGUUAAUCAUGUUCAUACUAUCCUAAAAAGAAAAUAAAAAUGUUAAAACCAGUAAGCCCCAUGUGAGUAUACAAGUGGCAUAAAACCCAUAAGUACAUUCACUGUGGUGGCAUAAAAAAUAAUAAAAUAAAAAUAUUCUUCGGCUCUAUAAAAAUAUAAAAAUAAAAUUGUGAUCCUACAAAUGAAAGUAGCAUUUAUUGAGGAGGCUCAACAUGAUAAAGGCUAGAUAUUUAUGCUAACACCUAAUCAGUUCCACAAAGCUUUGUUGUCUAUUUGAGCUCCACAGAAUUCAAGGAUCAAGAAGACUAGCAGACGGAGGACAUCCUAAUCGCUGUCAGGGCGCUGCCGACUUUCAAAUACACCUCCACCACAUGCUAGCUACAUCAGAAGAAAUUACGUCAAAAUCCAGCUUGGGGUAGAGCACCCCCAUUUAUCCCGCUAAGUAUUUCUAUCUACAUUUAUACUUAUACUAUAUUAAAAUAAAAAAAUAUACAUAACCAUGAAAAACCAAAUAAAGAUUUUGUGCUUAUAUAUAUAUAUAUAUCUUUUGCUUAAUGUGCUUAAUAAAUAAAUAAAUAAAGUGGCUAUGCUAAACUAAAUCCUAAUAAAACUCUAGCAUGGAUAUGAUGAAUAGUUGCUCUGCCUAAUUUUCAAAUUUGAAGUUCUCUCUCAAGUUUAGACAUAACUGUUAUAAUUUAAAGCUUGCUCUAAACCUGAACUUGUGGGAAGAGAACUUGAUCUGAAGUCUAUGUUGUUAACGGAUAUGAUAUGGGAAGGUUGAGCUGUUGUUUAUCUGUUUCUAGAGAUGCUAGAAAUCUAGAGAAUUUUAUCUUUGAAAAUUUUUAAAAUAUCACAUGAUGAGUUCCUGUAUGAUGAGAGUUUAAAUUCCGACCACAGCUAUAUAUACAUGCUUGCUAGACUUUGAGCCACACAUUUACUUUUUACUGCUUAUGAGCAUUGAGUGUGGUCAAGCUGUGUAGACCCUAGAGCUUGUCAUGUGGUUAAAAUUAAGAUUCACUUGCACGUUCACUCACACAUGCUGCUUCUACUCCGGAAGUACGCAUCCACAUAUAUCCACUCAUUUCCAUCUCUAGAGCCACCCAAAAGUAUUCUACUCCUAAUCCAGGAGAGAAUAGCCAAAAACAUUCUCCUAUUUCUGUUUUUCCCUAUGAAAUAAAUGCUCAAGUUAUCUUGGUUACUACCACUUGCUAUAUUAUUUCAGUAGAUGAGUGCUCUAAAAAAAGAGAGAAAGAAUACGAGGAAAUAAAAAGGGGCAAGUGCCCGGAACCUCGAAAGAAAAGAAAAAGUGAGACGAGAGGUAAAAAUGGACAAGUGUCCGACAGUAGAAUUAGGGGUACAAGAUACCCACCUGAUAGGAAAGAAAAAUAAAAUGUAGAGCAUCUCAUUCUCCUCAAAAGUUUCAAAGAGCAAGAAAGGUAUGUAUGCCCUCAAAAGAGCACAAGUAGAAUUAGACUUUCACCAUUGUUAUCACAAUCAUCACCAUACUUUCGCCACACAUGCACAUCUUGAUUUGACUUAAUGACUUGUUUCUCUGGAUCCAUGGUUUGAUUAUGCAAUAAAUGUCUUGUAAGUAUGUAUACUUUAUCUCCCACCUAUGAGCUCCAGAUAUCAUAAGUCUUAUUAAAGUAGGGUGAGAGAGAAGGCAAGGUCACUAUGCUUCAUACCACAAAUACUACAUACUUUGAAAGAAGGCAUAUACCAUCACUGCCUUGGUAAGGAUCAAAAUCUACAAAAGAUAGAUCUGAGAGAGUCAUACAAGGAAUCUCUGAGUUUUAUUUGAAAAUCUGCAAAAGCUCCAGAGCUAUAGCUUAUCAAGAAUAAGAGACAUGGCACUUGACUAGACCGUUCUAUCUUUUAACUGCUCAAGACAGAAGUGACGGUUACAAGUCCCAUGGUGAAAGGUAAAAUGAGUAAGUUUUAAGUCUUGACGUUUUACUCUAACUCAGAGAUGAGACCUUAUUUGAAAGCAUGUGUACCGUCAAAACUCAAAGGCAUUACAGCAACUUCUGAUCCAUCACUGAGAUUAUCCUUGCUCAGGGACGAGCAAGAGGUAAGCUUGGGGGAGUUUGUUGACAGUCCUUAAGUAUCAAAUAUAAUCAACAAAUAAACAAAGAAAAGGAUCCAAAUGCAACCGACACCCAGACUUAGGGUUUUAUCUGACAGAAUUCCACGAGUUUUGGUGUUUGUCUAUUUCUGUAGGGGGUUAUCAGGAAUUAUGGAGGAAAGGCCCACACGUCGGGUUUACAUAGAGAUAUUAACAUGCACCGCAAUUAUCCAACAUCUAGAAGAGUCCAGAAGCCACGGAAACGAGCAGGAGGCCGAUCAGGCCAAGGGACAGGGCGCCUGCCCUCCCCCCUUGGGCGCCCGCCCUGACCGGAGAGCCAAUCAGGCUCCGCCUCGCAGAUCAUGCUCCACCGACCUAAGGGAUUAAGGAAAACCGUGCGAUUAAGGUCGGUUUGAUCCGACGGUCCAUAUUCAUUUGGAGGGACUAUAUAAGCAGGCCCCUGGCCCCUGGAGAGGAGGACCUUGGAAGCCCUAAUUCAUUCAUCCAUCUUGGGAGAAGAAGUCUCUGAUCAAGCCCUAGAGCCACCACAUCAACUAGAUCUCUAGUUUAGCAUAGCUACAUAGGAUUAGAACUAGAAGGAGUCAAUCUUCGAUUGGUUUCCAGAUCUAUCAAGAGGAUUCAUGGUAAUUCCUCUACUGUUCUUCAUUUGUUCAUCAUUGUUCUUCAAUAUUAUGAAUAUGUCUUUGUUCUACUUCAAUAUAUUGAUUAUGAAUUUGCUCUACUUGUUUAUAUUUGCAAUUAUAUCGUUCUUAGUUUAUCAUAGUUAUAUGCUUGGCUUAGUUAGAUUGGAAUUAUAUACAUGUUUAGGAUCGUAUAGCGUUUAUCCAUGUGUACAGUGGGUAAAUGAUAAGUAUUGUGUAGGCGUGGUGCCUAUACCGUAUUUAUCUGCGAUUGUACCCUAUAUGUCGGAUCGCGGGGUAGUUCGUGGUGGUGACAGCUUCAUUGAUUCUUAUAUAGUCCCCCUCUCGUGUAUAGGGAAGGCAGAGCAACAUUAUUACAGGGCAGUGAUUGCUAUGUUUCUCAUCUUCCUUGAUAAUAUCACUAUGCAUGGGCGUAGUCCUGUCUCGCAAUGAUUGCCAAGUAUAAUUGCACUAUGAUAUGCUAGACUUUAUAGUUAAGAAUAACUUAGGCAAUGUUCUUGUAGUUCAUCCUAAUUCCAUGCUAAUGACUUGCUAGAAUAUCUGUUGAGGUGCUCAUCAUUAUUAUAUGUGGCUAGUUAUGCUGAUCGGAUUAAUUAUCUUUGUCACCAUUCAUACUUUAUCUAUAUUUUAUGUGACAUUUAUCCCUGUAUGAAAGAGAUAGAUAAAUGCUCUCUAUUACACUUGCAAUGAUAGAUACUCAAUUCCAUAUUUCAGUCCAUAAGCAACAUUGAUGAUUAGUAAUCCCUUCCCAGUGGUAAAAAUAUAAAUAACGAUACCUGGAAUACUUCCCGGUUAAAAUGCUACAUCAGUAUUAAUCUGUGCGCUUGCAGAUCUCAUUUAUUAUUCAUUCAGAAGAGCAAUUGCAUAUUUCAAUACCGUGUCUCUCAUGUCAUGCUGGGGAUGACAACUUGGCUUAAGUGGCAUGAGGGAUAGGUUCGGCAUUUUUGGCGCCGUUAUCAGAACUAGAAAACUAAGUCUACUUUUGGUAAUGACGUUAAGAAUGCCCAACAUACAGCCCCCUCAGCUGAAGAAAAGUGCUACUCUGGGUGCUUCUACUAGUUCCUCCUUGCCUAGCUCUAAAAUCAUUUGCCACCAAUGCAAAGGCAUGGGACAUGUCACGAAGGAUUGCCCUAGUCGUCGCGCUUUCAUUGCUACCAAGGAUGGAUAUGCAAGUGCUAGUGAUGUUAACGAUGAUUUAGCUCUUGCUGCUAACAUUGAUGCAGAUUCCUCUAAGGGCGAUCAAGGCAAGGACGCCAUCCACAUUGACUCUGUGGCUGCCUCCACGGGCUAUCCUAGCCUUCUUGUGCAGCGUGUGUUGAGUUCACGUGUGGGACAUGAAGAAGAGAUGCAAAUCCAGCACCAUAAUUUGUUCCACAUGUAUCUCAUUGUGCAGGUUGUCAUGUUCUCACCAUCAUUGAUAGCGGGAGUUACAGCAACUUGGUGAGUUCAGAUUUGGUUGAGAAGCUUGACUUGACCAUACGACAACAUUCGUAUCCAUAUAAACUUCAAUGAUUCAAUAAUAGUGGUAAGACUAAGGUAACUAAAUCAGCCCGCAUUAGCUUUUUCAUAGACAUUUAUCAUGAUACUGCUGAUUUUGAUGUUGUACCUAUGCAAGCUUGUUCAAUUUUAUUAGGACGUCCAUGGGAAUUUGAUAAUGAUGCUUUACACUAGGGUAGAACUAAUACAUACACUCUCAUGCAUAAGGCCAAGAAAAUUACUUUACUACCUUUGUCACCUAUGGAUAUUGUUAAACAUGCUAAAGAGAUUAACAAUAAACCUCCAAUAGAGAUUAAGUUAUAAGGAGGUGAUUUACUUGCUACAACUUCUGCUGCUGCUGAGUUAUGUGAUACUCCAGAUGCACCAUGUUAUACUAUUUUUCGUCAACCUAUUAUAUCUUGUGUAUUGCCUGCUGUCACUAACCUUUUACAGGAGUUCGUUGAUGGGGAAGAGUCGAGGACUACUUCGCUUCUAGAAGGAGGGGAUGAUGAGGACAUCACCAAGAUGGAGUCGAGAACAACUCCAAUUCAAGAAGAAGAGGGUGAUGAGGACAUCGCCACAUUGGACACAUCGACACCAUCGUCUUUCUCAAGUUGCAAUUCAUCUCCAACUCAGCUACCACGUCACUCUCGGAUUCAACAGACACAUCGUUAGUGUUUUGAUCAUAACUUCUUCAUACAACAUCAAAACAGGGUGAUCUUGGACUUAUUAGAAAGGAGACAACAACACCGUCAUUUUGGAUCUAGUCCCAGCUCCAGAACAGUCGUGGAUUAAUCUGUGUGACCACAAAUUGUGCUGCAUCACUUAUUUUGGGCCAAGGUGGGGUUGGGUGGCGCCCUGCUCGCUCGCCUUCCCUCUCGUUUCGGUCACGGUCAGGUUUGAGUUGAUCACAGUAUAAUUGCAUACAUCUUACCUUGAAUUGUCAUCCGAAUCUAAGGGACAAGUGUCCGGAACCUCGAUUCGAAAAAAAGAGAGAGCUCAUGGUCCCUCCAACAUAAUAUGCCAAGGAGUGGAUGAUUUGUCUGAUCCAGGAAUAUGAUAUUUCCCUCCCUGGUUAUAAACAUCAAAUUAAUAUCACAACAGUUGAUGCCACCACAAUUAAGAGAAGGUCGAAGCUAUGUUUUAUUUGCAAACUCCACUUACUCUCCAGUAGACAAAAUUUAAGGAAGAGAGUAGUCUAUUUUAAGCUAUCCUACUCUACAAUCACUAUAGAAUUCAUGAUAAACACUUUAAAUUUCCACAAUACAUGAUGGCUAGACUAGUUUUAUAUAAUUUAAUUUCCAAGUUAUGCAUUAAAUGUUUACUCAUUAUGAUAGAACCAACCUUUUUAUCGGGACGAGUAAAAGCCUAAGUGUGGGGGUAAUUGUUGACACUUGUUAACUCACAAUAUUUGUUAGCAUUUAUUUCUCCACCAGGUAUGAAUAUCUACUAGAAUAGGGUUAUUACUGACAAUUUUCAUGAGUUUUGCAUAUUCUUUGUUUUCCAGGGUUUAUUUUAGAAAGAGUUGAAAAGAGGGAUUCAAGUGCAAAAUAAACACGAAACUUAUCCGCGACGCAACAACACCACCAACGGGACGUGGGAAGACUCUAGAAGGUCUUACUUAGUUGGAGCUAAAAUAAUUGUUUAUUCUGACCAUGCUACUCUUAAAUAUCUGCUCACUAAGAAAGAUGCUAAACCACGAUUCAUAAGAUGGAUUUUAUUACUUCAAGAAUUUGAUUUGGAAAUUAAGAAUAGAAAAGGAAUAGAAAACCCUAUUGCUGAUUAUUUGUCUUGGGUGUAUUUUAAGGAACCUUAGGAAUUACCUAUUAAUGACUAAUUAAGAGAUGACAUGCUGUUUAAAGUGACCAAGAUAGAUCAUUGGUACGCAAAUAUUGUCAACUUUAUGGUUGCAGGUUACGUACCACUAGGAGAAAAUUAGAAGAGGCUCAUUUAUGAAAGUCGUCUCCACAUAUGGGAUCCACCCUACCUCUUUUGGGUAUGGUCAAAUGGGUUGCUUAGAAGAUGUGUACCAGUGGAGGAGGGCAUGUAGAUCAUUCAAAAAUGUCAUGCAUCACCAUAUGGAGGUCAUUAUGUGGUAUUCCGUACUCAUGCAAAAAUUUGGCAGAGUGGCUUCUUCUGGCCAACCAUGUAUGAAGACACUAAAGAUUUAUCCAAAGAUGUGGGUCGUGUCAGAGGCACGGAAAUAACAAUGCUAGAGAUGCUAUGCCACUCACCAACAAUCUUCAGAUAUAACUCUUUGAUGUCUGGGGAAUUGAUUACAUGGGACCAUUUGUGAAAUCGUGGAAUUAUAAGUACAUUUUGGUGGCAGUUGACUAUGUAUCCAAAUGGGUAGAAGUCAUGCCAUGCAAGAAGGCUGAUUCAAGGCACUCAAAGAGGAUGUUUGAAGAGGUUAUAUUUCCGAGGUUUGGAACACCUAGGAUGGUUAUAAGUGAUGGAGGAACACAUUUCACUCAUAAGAAGUUUCACUCAUACCUACAAGCUCAUGGAAUACGACAUAAUGUCGCUACUCCAUAUCAUCCUCAAACAAGUGGCUAGGCAGAAACAUCAAAUAAACAAAACAAGAACAUUCUCUAGAAAAUAGUAAAUGAGAUGGGAACUUUAUGGAAGGAUCAGUUACUAGAUGCACUAUGGGCAUACCGGACAGCUUAUAAAACACCUUUGGGUAUGUCACCAUAUCAAUUGGUAUAUGGUAAGACCUACCACUUACUAGUUGAACUAGAACAUAAAGCUCACUGGGCUAUCAAAAGAUGGAAUAUGGAUUUAGAAGCCGUUGGAGAGAAAAGAAAAAUGCAAUUAUUAGAAAUAGAAGAGUGGAGAGAAAAGGCGUAUCACAAUUCGAAGAUCUACAAAGAGCGAACGAAGAGAUGGCAUGACAAGAGGAUCAAGAAGAAGGAAUUUGCACCAGGAGAUAAGGUAUUACUUUUUAAUUCCAGGUUCAAAUUAUUCAGGCUUGGAAAAUUGAGGAGCAAAUGGGAAGGACCCUUCACCAUCGUGAAUUCAUCACCACACGGAGCAGUAACUCUACAAUCAAGCGAAGGUAUGUUAUUCAAGGUAAAUGGACACCGACUUAAACUUUAUUUAGAACCAUUUGAUUCAGGAGUAGUUGAUGAAAUAGAAUUUAUCCAAUUACCAACAUAUUAAGCUCUAUUUAUUCCAGUAUGAAAAUUUAUCCGAAAACACGUCUAACAGAAAAUAGGAAGAGUCUAAAGGCACCACACAGAAGGGCACCCAAGGUAGGCCCCUGGUGGGGCCGGCCAAUGCCUAGGUGGGGCCGAUCGGUGCCCCCUUGCCGCCUCUCGUCCCAACUCUCGUUCCCUAUCCUUCUACACCCUUCCUACGAAUAUUCGUGCAAUAUCCAAUUGUGUUUUGAUAUUCUUUCGUACGGAUCCCGUAGAGCCUAGGAUUUGUCCUCAUCCUAUCUCCUGAAAACCCAUAUAAAUACGUACCUAGACCCUCCUCAAUAGUAUCCCAUAACCAGCCACCUCUUUCCUCAAAGAAGCUCUCCAAUCUAGAUCUAAUAGCAAUGGCGGACAAGGUAGUCGUCUCCUAUGACGCGGACUUCAACAACAUCCCCAGCGAUGACUCGAAGGCCCUCGUCCUCGUGCAGCCGAAGCCUCUCGUCGUUGUGCCACCGAAGCAAGUUGCUACAGUGCCCUAGCGUCAUGAGCAAGCCUACUACAUAUAAGAUCCAUCUGCUCUUCCUCCAACUCCUACAAGACUGCUGCUUGAAGGAGGUGCUAAGGGGAAGCAAAUUGCUAUCCCGAAGGGUACUCCGCUUCUUCCACCUAAGGACAAUGAACGGCUCUUAUCGGUCCAAACCGAUAAGAAUGGGAAGCUGAUAUGUGCCAAGUACACCAAUGCUCGUCCUGUUAUCCAAGGGGUUCGUGCAAACCCUAAUGAAGUAUGCUACGUUGAGCAUAUCGCACCAAAGCCCAAACCCAAGAGGAAGAGAGCAGCACUAGCAUUAGCACUAGAAAACCAAGGGGUUCGUGCAAACCCUAAUGAAGUAUGCUACGUUGAGCAUACCGCACCCAAACCUAAGAGGAAGAGAGCAGCACCAGCAAUAGCACUGGAAAAAGUUCCCAAGCAGCCAACUCCUACCCUACGCACCCUCAACGAGAAGCUUGAAGGCCUCUUUGACAUUGUCAAGGUGAUGGAGAAGUCCAACAAUCUAAGGGACAAGCUCAUAGAAGGCAUGGACAAUUAGUUAGGGAUCAGUCUGUUGACACCGUUUUUGGGCACGUGUCCAUGUUUGGUAGAGUACAGGCCGGCAGGAUAGGACGACGGUAUUUUGUCUACAGGAUGAAUUGCCGAUGAGGGUGGUUGCCGAUGAAGGAGAGAUUGAAUGUGACUAAAUCUGUAGAUGGUGAUUUGUCUGUGCCGAUGGCUACGAUAGGGAAGUCUGCCGAUGACUAUGACAAGGGAGUCUGUUGAUGAUACGGAGGGAGAGUCCGGGAGUUGCCGAUCGGUUUGUGGAGAUGUUCCAGCUUGUCACGGGGGCAUAGCUUUAUGUUUUCCUUAGUUAUUUAAAUCGUUUUGUAUACGGAUUCUAUGUAAUUUGGAAUUCGAAUUCUAGUCAUGUCUGGUUGUAACUCUUUGAGCAAGGUAUAAAUAUAGACCCUAGGGCCUUGUAAUGAGGGAUCAAUCAAUCAAUCAAACACACGCUUUUACUCAUAUUCCAGCAUCUACUUUUUUCGACGACUUCGUCAUACUUUUUCCUUUUCAUUACGAGUUCUUAGGAAUUCAUCGACUUAAGCUCGGCGCGUUCUCAAGUUCCGCGUGAGUACCUCUUAGCCGUGACAUCCGGGCGCAUCGCUGUUGUCAGGACUAAAGUAUUCGAGUUACCACCUUUGCCGAUAGUAAGGUCAAAUCGGCUAGCACGCCUUAACGUUUGAAUCGGGUAUUAGCCCUUUGUGUUUGCAGAUCAAUUUUUGCACCAACACAUCUUUUGGCACGCCUGGUGGGACAGAUUCAAGAUCAAGAUCUACAUGUCGACUUCUGAGUUUGAUCAAGACAACGUCAUCCCCGUGACGGAAGCCAAUCUCAAGGAUGAGCAGACUGGGCUAUCAAAAGAUGGAAUAUGGAUUUAGAAGUCGUUGGAGAGAAAAGAAAAAUGCAAUUAUUAGAAAUAGAAGAGUGGAGAGAAAAGGUGUAUCACAAUUUGAAGAUCUACAAAGAGCGAACGAAGAGAUGGCAUGACAAGAGGAUCAAGAAGAAGGAAUUUGCACCAGGAGAUAAGGUAUUACUUUUUAAUUCCAGGUUCAAAUUAUUCAGGCUUGGAAAAUUGAGGAGCCAAUGGGAAGGACCCUUCACCAUCGUGAAUUUAUCACCACACGGAGCAGUAACUCUACAAUCAAGCGAAGGUAUGUUAUUCAAGGUAAAUGGACACCGACUUAAACUUUAUUUAGAACCAUUUGAUUCAGGAGUAGUUGAUGAAAUAGAAUUUAUCCAAUUACCAACAUAUUAAGCUCUAUUUAUUCCAGUAUGAAAAUUUAUCCGAAAACACGUCUAACAGAAAAUAGGAAGAGUCUAAAGGCACCACACAGAAGGGCACCCAAGGUAGGCCCCUGGUGGGGCCGGCCAACGCCUAGGUGGGGCCGAUCGGUGCCCCCUUGCCGCCACUCGUCCCAACUCUCGUUCCCUAUCCUUCUACACCCUUCCUACGAAUAUUCGUGCAAUAUCCAAUUGUGUUUUGAUAUUCUUUCGUACGGAUCCCGUAGAGCCUAGGAUUUGUCCUCAUCCUAUCUCCUGAAAACCCAUAUAAAUACGUACCUAGACCCUCCUCAAUAGUAUCCCAUAACCAGCCACCUCUUUCCUCAAAGAAGCUCUCCAAUCUAGAUCUAAUAGCAAUGGCGGACAAGGUAGUCGUCUCCUACGACGCGGACUUCAACAACAUCCCCAGCGAUGACUCGAAGGCCCUCGUCCUCGUGCAGCCGAAGCCUCUCGUCGUUGUGCCACCGAAGCAAGUUGCUACAGUGCCCUAGCGUCAUGAGCAAGCCUACUACAUAUAAGAUCCAUCUGCUCUUCCUCCAACUCCUACAAGACUGCUGCUUGAAGGAGGUGCUAAGGGGAAGCAAAUUGCUAUACCGAAGGGUACUCCGCUUCUUCCACCUAAGGACAAUGAACGGCUCUUAUCGGUCCAAACCGAUAAGAAUGGGAAGCUGAUAUGUGCCAAGUACACCACUGCUCGUCCUGUUAUCCAAGGGGUUCGUGCAAACCCUAAUGAAGUAUGCUAUGUUGAGCAUAUCGCACCAAAGCCCAAACCCAAGAGGAAGAGAGCAGCACUAGCAUUAGCACUAGAAAACCAAGGGGUUCGUGCAAACCCUAAUGAAGUAUGCUACGUUGAGCAUACCGCACCCAAACCUAAGAGGAAGAGAGCAGCACCAGCAUUAGCACUGGAAAAAGUUCCCAAGCAGCCAACUCCUACCCUACGCACCCUCAACGAGAAGCUUGAAGGCCUCUUUGACAUUGUCAAGGUGAUGGAGAAGUCCAACAAUCUAAGGGACAAGCUCAUAGAAGGCAUGGACAAUUAGUUAGGGAUCAGUCUGUUGACACCGUUUUUGGGCACGUGUCCAUGUUUGGUAGAGUACAGGCCGGCAGGAUAGGACGACGGUAUUUUGUCUACAGGAUGAAUUGCCGAUGAGGGUGGUUGCCGAUGAAGGAGAGAUUGAACGUGACUAAAUCUGUAGAUGGUGAUUUGUCUGGGCCGAUGGCUACGACAGGGAAGUCUGCCGAUGACUAUGACAAGGGAGUCUGUUGAUGAUACGGAGGGAGAGUCCGGGAGUUGCCGAUCGGUUUGUGGAGAUGUUCCAGCUUGUCACGGGGGCAUAGCUUUAUGUUUUCCUUAGUUAUUUAAAUCGUUUUGUAUACGGAUUCUAUGUAAUUUAGAAUUCGAAUUCUAGUCGUGUCUGGUUGUAACUCUUUGAGCAAGGUAUAAAUAUAGACCCUAGGGCCUUGUAAUGAGGGAUCAAUCAAUCAAUCAAACACACGCUUUUACUCAUAUUCCAGCAUCUACUUUUUUUCGACGACUUCGUCAUACUUUUUCCUUUUCAUUACGAGUUCUUAGGAAUUCAUCGACUUAAGCUCGGCGCGUUCUCAAGUUCCGCGUGAGUACCUCUUAGCCGUGACAUCCGGGCGCAUCGCUGUUGUCAGGACUAAAGUAUUCGAGUUACCACCUUUGCCGAUAGUAAGGUCAAAUCGGCUGGCACGCCUUAACGUUUGAAUCGGGUAUUAGCCCUUUGUGUUUGCAGAUCAAUUUUUGCACCAACACAUCAUUUGGCACGCCUGGUGGGACAGAUUCAAGAUCAAGAUCAACAUGUCGACUUCUGAGUUUGAUCAAGAGAACGUCAUCCCCGUGACGGAAGCCAAUCUCAAGGAUGAGCAGAAGCAAGCUAUUGCUAAAGCUAUGGAGGAUUACAAGCAGCAAUGCCUGAGGUCCUUCAGCAUGAACAGGAGUGGUGAGGUGAUUCAGAAGGAUGCACUGCCGGCACCUCGGCAGGUUACUUUUGAGUCCAAUCCUGGCAAACUUCAAGAGAUGGUUGACAGCGCUAUCAACCGUGCUUUGAUCAACCAAGCUGGUGUACUGUCUAAUACGGUUUUCAAUGUCGUGGCAAGAACUUUCAAGGAGGGACAAUUGCCACCGGAUUAUGUGGGCCCCACUUAUCACCAGCCAAAGUCACCAGUGGUCACAGCUCCAUCGGCUGCUACGGCUGUUGCGGGUAUGGAGAUUCCUGUUCCGCCAAGCACAUUGGGAGUCACCAAUGGACAGUCUAUGCCGAUGACAACUAAUCCACAAACUUCAGAUGGGCAGAUUAAACUUGCCACGGAUUUGUUAGCAUCGGCAAUGACAGGGUUAACUCCUCCCAACUGGUGGGGUUAUGGCAUGCCUCCAGAGUUAACGCCGGGUACAUCGCAGACGACUGAUAUGAGAGGCAAGACUCCCAUGGCAUCGGCACCUCCCAAUAUGCCGAUGAACUAGAGUCCCCAGUAUACUACAACUACUACUGCAAGACCUUACACUGGGAAUUCUCAAGCUCCAAUGUCCUAGAUGCCUAACGCAGCGGCAGACUCGAUGCUGAUGCAACAGAGGUCUAUGGCUCAAUCAGGGUAUGUCAAUUCAAUGAUGAUGCCCAAUUACCAGUCAUCGGCAGGGCCUAUGCCGAUGAAUGCUAAUAAUGGAUGGCUUGGGCAGCAAGUCUUUCCGCAAACGCCCCAACAGAGUCACCAGGCUACAGGGUUCCAGCAAGGACAGAUCUAUCCCGGGUUCCAGAAUCAGGGGAUCCCUAACCAGCCAAUGAGUCUCGGGCAGCAGGUCAGCGGACAGCAGAUUGGCGGGCAACAGCUUGGUGGUCCACAGGUUGGAGGUCAGAUGAUCAACCCAAUGUUCCGUGCAGAUCGUGCACCGAACAGACACGUGGAGGCUUACCAGCAGGCACCUGAUCCGCAACCGCCCCAUCGGCAAGAUGCCGAUGCAUACUGGGCCGAUAAGAUUGCUGAAGUAAUGAGAGACCAAUUCGGGAUAAAACCCAAAGUCAAUACUUACUCUUAUCGGACACCGUAUCCUCCUGCAUACGACUUGAUCCCGCUUCCACAUCGGUACAAGGUACUGGAUUUUACUAAGUUUUCUGGGCAGGAUGACACGUCGACCAUGGAACACGUUAACAGGUUCAUCAUUCAAUGCGGAGAAGCUGGUAACACGGACGAGUUAAGGGUUCGUCUAUUUUCAUCAUCAUUGUCUGGAUCUACUUUUACCUGGUUUAUAUCACUACCUCCCAACUCAGUGGUUACUUGGGCCGAUCUGGAAAAACAAUUCAACAAAUACUUCUUCUCUGGGGUCCAUGAGAAGAAGAUCACCGAUUUGGUCAAAUUAAAGCAGUGUAAUGAUGAAUCGGUUGAGGGUUUUGUACAGAGGAUACGGGAAGUCAAGAACAAGUGCUAUAGUCUGGUUCUGGACGAUCGGCAGCUAGCCGAUUUGGCUUUCCAGGGUUUGUUGCCACACAUUAGGGACAAAUAUGCAUCUCAGGAGUUUGAAAGCUUAAGUCAUCUGGUGCAAAGAAUCUCCGAUCAAGACAUCAAGCCGUUUGAACCCAAGAGAGCAUGGAACAAAAAGGUGUCGUUCGUUGACGAAGCAACAAGCUCGGAUUCCGAUGAAGAACCAGUCAUCGGCUUGGCAGAGUGGGUGAAAAACAAGAAGCCGAUGUCUUGUCCUUUUGGACAUAAAGAACCAGAGAAAUUUUUGUUUGACACCGCUAAAGCCGAUAGGAUAUUCGACUUUCUGCUCCAGGAAGGUCAGAUCAAACUGUCACCUAAUCACGUGAUCCCAUCGGCUGAAGAAUUGAAAAAGAUGACAUAUUGCAAGUGGCACAAUGCAACUUCUCAUGGCACUAACGAGUGCAAGGUGUUCAGACAGCAACUGCAAUCGGCUAUAGAAUCUGGGAGAAUCAAAUUUGACAGCUCCAAGACCCAGAAGCCGAUGAAGAUUGAUCAACAUCCUUUCCCAACGAACAUGUUGGAUGCUAAGGGAAAAGCCAAGGUCUUAACCUCAGAAGCAGCCGAAAGAAGUGCAUCGGUAGAUCCUCAGCAUCAAGUUACUACUGCCGAUGCGAGAGGAAGGGGCUUGGUCCAGGAAGGAACCAGCUCAGGAAGGCCUCCCCGAUCUGGGAUCGUAAUAACUCACAGAAGGCCUGGGGAAACUUGGCAGCAACGAGAAGAUCGGUACCGGCGCCAGCAAGAAGAUUAUCGUCGGGAAGAAGAAAGACGCCGACAGGAGUGGAAUCGGCAUAGGGAUCACUGGAAUUGUCCGUUCUUCAUCCAUUGCUGGGAGGAGAAUAUCAAGCUUCCUACUGUCAGAGAUUUCCCUGAGUGCAACGGUUAUGAUCGGUACGACAGGUCCGAUCGGAACUAUCAUGAUAAUGAUCGGCGCUUCGAUGGGUCGAGUAGAGGGAGAGCAUCUGUCCAUGAUCGGCUGGGAGGCAGACUCAGUGUGCACGACAGGCUUGGUGAUCAUGUCCAAUAUUUUCCCAGGAACCAGGAAGAACUUGAGGAGAUGGCUAAUGCACAAGUUCCCAACGAAUUCAUAUUUUGCAGGGAUGCCAAUGCGCAUCGGAUGGAGUCAAGGGAAAAUCAUCGCCCGGCAGCAAGGCAGAAGCCGCUUCCUCCAUGGUGUCCAGAAGGGUUGACCAAGACACAGAAAAGGAGGUUGCAGCGCGAAAGGCAAGGAGGGCUAAGCAAGGGCGAGAACUCUGGUCAGUCUGGAGAUCAGCAGCAAUCAGAUCCCAAGGGGGAAGGUCCAUCGGCAGAUGUCAACAUGGUCUUUAUGUUGCCGAUGGAGUUUCUUCCGCCAUCCAGUGAUGAUGAGUUGGAAUUUUCCGACCAAAUAGCUCAAUUGGCUCUGGAUCCGAUGACAGCUAUCUUCGAGAAACCUGCCGAUGACGAAAGACAACAUCUCAAGGCUCUGUUUGUCAAAGGGAGGGUUGAUGGGCAGCCGAUGACCAAGAUUCUAGUUGAUGGUGGGGCUGCUAUCAACAUCAUGCCGUAUGCAGUAUAUCGGAAGCUUGGGAGAGGGGAUCAGGAUUUGACCAAGACCGAUAUGAUGCUUAAAGACUUUGAAGGGAACGUGUCUCCAGUCAAGGGGGCAAUAUGUGUAGAGUUGACCAUCGGCAGCAAAACAUUGCCGACAACCUUCUUUGUGAUCAGUGGAAAGGGUGCUUACAACUUGCUAUUGGGAAGAGAUUGGAUUCACGCUAAUUGUUGCAUCCCGUCUACACUGCACCAAUGCUUGGUUCAGUGGGUAGGAGACAAAAUUGAGAUUGUCCCGGGAGAUUCUUCUUAUGUCAUUGCGUCGGCAGAGGCGGACACAUAUGAGAGGACUAGGUGUAUUUCAGGAGAAGUUUGGGAGAAAGAUUUUCUCAAGGUUGCCGAUUACGAGAUUCCACCGAUCCAAGUAGUCGGUUCUGACGAAGGUUUUUAAUGGAUAGGUUCGCCGAUGAUGGAAAGUUAGGCGAGGGAUUCACAUCGGCCGAUGAUUUGGUAGAAGUAGAUAUAGGUAAUGGUGAUAAGCCUAGACCCACUUUUAUUAGUGCUAAGUUAGAUUCUGAGUGUAAGCAACGGUUAACCGAUUUGUUAAAGGAAUAUAAAGAUUGCUUUGCUUGGGAUUAUACUAAGAUGCCUAGUUUGGACCGAUCAAUUGUUGAACAUCGGUUGCCUAUUAAGUCUGGAUUUCGGCCACAUCAGCAGCCAGCUCGCCGAUGUAAUCCUAAUAUUCUUCCUGACAUCAAGGCCGAAAUAACCAAACUUGUUGAAGCCAAAUUUAUUCGGCAGUGUCGGUAUGCCGAAUGGAUUUCCAAUGUUGUUCCGGUCUACAAGAAGAACGGGAAGCUUUGGGUCUGCAUUGAUUUCAGGAAUCUCAAUAAAGCUACGCCGAUGGAUGGAUACCCAAUGCCAGUUGCCGAUCUGCUGGUUGACGCUGCGGCUAGGCAUCGGAUUAUUAGCUUUAUGGAUGGCAAUGCAGGAUACAAUCAAAUAUUCAUGGCUGAAGAAGAUAUUUCAAAAACUGCGUUUAGGUGCCCUGGUCAUGUUGGAUUGUUUGAGUGGAUAGUCAUGACUUUUGGCCUAAAGAAUGCUGGUGCUACUUAUCAAAGGGCCAUGAAUUUUAUAUUUCAUGAGUUCAUCGGCAAACUGGUAGAGAUUUAUAUUGAUGAUGUGGUGGUCAAGUCUGGGGAUUUCUCAAAGCAUCUUGCCGAUUUACGAAAGGUGUUGGAAUGCACGAAGAAGCAUGGUUUGAAAAUGAAUCCCAAUAAGUGUGCAUUUGGGGUAUCGGCAGGGCAAUUUCUUGGUUUCAUGGUGCACCAGAGGGGAAUUGAAAUCAGUCGAAGAUCUAUUGAUGCCAUCAAUAAGAUAGUAGCCCCUACCAACAAGACUGAGUUACAAUCCUUGAUCGGCAAGGUAAAUUUUAUCAGAAGGUUUAUAUCUAACUUGUCUGGUAGAAUUCGUGCUUUCAGCCCUCUUCUUAAGUUAAAGGCCGAUCAAGAGUUUGUUUGGGGGAAGGAACAACAGAUGGCUCUGGAUGAAAUCAAGAAGUGUUUAAUAAAUCCUCCAGUUCUAAUUCCACCUCAGCAAGGGAAGCCCUUCAGAUUGUAUUUGUCUACCGAUGGGAUGGUCAUCGGUUCAGCUUUAAUUAAAGAGUUUGAAGGGAAGGAGCGUGUAAUUUAUUAUUUAAGUAGGAGGUUGAUUGAUGCUGAGACCAGGUAUUCGGCUAUUGAGAAACUGUGCUUGUGCUUAUAUUUCUCUUGUAUUAAGUUAAGGCAUUACUUGCUAUCGGCCGAAUGCACUGUUAUUUGCAAGGAUGAUGUGGUCCGGUACAUGCUGUCCAUGCCAAUUAUGAGUGGCAGGAUGGGUAAGUGGAUUUUGGCGCUGAGUUCGAUCUGCGUUAUGAAUCAGCUAAGGCAGUUAAGGGACAGAUUAUGACCGAUUUUGUAACUCAACAUUGUGGUACGGUGGAAGCUUUGGAAAUUGUACCUUGGACACUGUUCUUUGAUGGAUCCACAUGUGACCGGGGGCAGGAAUCGGCAUAGUAUUAGUUUCCCCUCUGGGAAGGAAGUAUGAGUUUUCCUUGCCGAUUAUUGCCACGUCAACAAAUAAUCAGGCUGAGUAUCAGGCUUUGAUAAAAGGAUUGGAAUUGUUGAGGGAAGUUCAUGCUGAUGCUGUCGAAGUUUUCGGGGAUUCUAUGCUGGUUAUAAAUCAGUUGGCUGGAAGUUAUGAAUGCCGAAGUGAAGUUCUCAUAACUUAUUACGAGCGGAGCGUGCAACUACUGAAGGAAUUCAAGGAUUUCCGAUUAAAGUAUGUUCCUCGACUGCAUAAUGAAGAGGCCAAUCGGUUGGCUCAGCAUGCUUCGGGAUAUCAACCUAUAAUUGGUGCAAUAUCGGCAACUGGUGCCGAUGAUUGGAGGAAAGAAAUCGUUGAUUAUUUGAAAGAUCCAUCUAAGAAAGUUGAGAGACGAGUUCGGUUUCAAGCUACUAAGUAUGUGCUCCUCGAAGACGAAUUGUAUUACCGAACUAUUGAUGGGAUUCUUCUUCGAUGCUUGGGUGAUGAUGAAGCUAGAAGUUUGAUGGGAGAAAUCCAUGAAGGGGUAUGUGGAGCACAUCAGUCGGCUUUCAAGAUGAAGUGGAUGAUUAGGAGGAAUGGAUAUUACUGGCCGACCAUACUUGAAGAUUGCUUUAGGUAUUUUAAGGGGUGUCAAGGAUGUCAGAAGUUUGGUAAUAUUCAAAGAACACCCGCAUCGGCCAUGAAUCCUAUUAUCAAGCCUUGGCCGUUCCGGGGAUGGGCUAUUGAUCUAAUUGGCCAGAUUUAUCCACCAUCUAGCAAAGGGCAUAAGUUUAUUUUGGUUGCCACCGAUUAUUUCACUAAAUGGGUUGAAGCUAUUCCUUUGAAGAAAGUCACAUCGGUCAAUAUGAUUGAUUUUGUGAAGGAGCACAUUAUUUACCGAUUUGGGAUUCCUCAGACAAUUACUACUGAUCAACGCACUAUGUUCACAUCGGGGGAGUUUGAUGAAUUCGCAAUCGAUAUGGGGAUUAAAGUGUUGAAUUCCUCUCCUUACUAUGCUCAAGCUAAUGGGCAGGCCGAGGCGUCUAACAAAGGAAUCAUUAAGCUUAUUAAGCGGAAGAUUGAAGAGAAUCCUGAAGGUGGCACACAUUGUUAAAUGAAGCCUUGUGGUCCUAUCGGAUGGCUUGUCAUGGAUCAACUAAGGUUGCACCUUAUCAGUUGGUGUAUGGACAUGAUGCAGUAUUGCCUUGGGAAAUUAAGGCUGGAUCUAGGCGACUAUCUUUUCAAGAUCAAUUGGCUGCCGAUGAUUAUGCUACUUUGAUGACAGACGAGUUGGAUGAUCUAGCAGGGCAUCGGUUAAGGGAUUUGAUGAGUAUAGAGGAAAAUAAGAAGAGAGUUGCUAGAUGGUAUGACAAGAAAGUAAAGGCUAAGGAGUUUGCCAAUGGAGACUUGGUAUGGAAAUUGAUUUUACCGAUCGGGACUAAAAGCUCGAAGUUUGGGAAGUGGUCUCCCAAUUGGGAGGGUCCCUAUCGGAUAAGGCGAUCGGCUCCUCAUAACGCCUACGUUCUAGAAACUCUCGAAGGAGUUGAAUUUCCCAGAGCAUUAAAUGGCAAAUAUUUGAAGAAGUACUACCCUAGCAUAUGGGUCGACGCAUAAAGAUUUAAAUGCCGAUAACACUCCUAUCGGCUGGAUUAAAAUGUAUCUGGGGCCGGACUUAAUGUUUCAAAGGUUGCCGAUAACAGUCCUAUCGGCUAGACUAAAACAGCAAGGAAACUGGAAGUGCAGAGAAGUAAAGAUGUGUCACCGAUGAGAGCUUCAUGUGUUCAGCAGCACCUGGAUCGCCGAUAUGGCGCGCAGCCGGAUUUGGUUGGCUACUUCUAUCGUCAUCGGCAGAACCUUCUAUCGGCUUCAGCUUCUUCUUCAACUGCAACGCCUUGCGACCAUGGGCAUUUCGUUCUUGCUCGAGGAGCUUGAUGGUCUCUGGCAGUUGGUUCUUCUCCUGUUGGGCUUGGGAUAAGGCAUCCUCCACUUGCUUGAGUUCUGCCAACAGGGCUUCUCUCUUUGCCGAUAGGUCAGAGAUCUUCUGCUUCAGUGCAUCUCCUGAGGACUUCAAAGUGCCGAUGUUCUUGUGCUUUUCAUCGGCCAAGAGUUUCUCCUUCAUCAUCUCUUCAAGAGGAGGUGAUAGGCCGCUCCAAGCAGGUAUCGGCCAAGGGGAAAUCGGCCACCAUUGGCCAGAUUUUCCGCUGCUGCUAAAUGAACAGAAGUUGGUCCUGCCGAUCGACCACAAAACACGAAUUUGUCUAACCACAUGUUCAAAAAGCAGGUCUGCUCCUUUAUGUCAACAGGGCCUGUUUUGCGGUAUUUUGGAUAUAUCCUGACCAGCCGCCGAUGGAGCGGGUUUCUACCUUAGCACUGGGUUUGGUAUCAAAAAAAUGGGUGCUAUCGGCAGAAGAAAUAUCUAACCCGUUGAGCAUAGCCACAUCGGCAAGAGUGGGGGAAACAGGGCCAUGGCCAAAGACAAAGGCAUUGAGCGUGUCUGACCAGAAGUAUGAUGCAGCUAUCAGCAGUGACUCGUUCCUAUGCAUAUCGGCAAUAGACAACCUAAUGCAUUGGGCUAGAUUUCUUUCAUCCCAUUGGACUUCAUUUGAGUUGCUGACUCUCAAAAACCAAUCUAUCCACCCCACGGUACGGCUGGGCUAGGAACAAAAAGUAUCCUUCCACAGAUCCAAAGAAAAGUUCUCUGCUCUGAAAGGGAUCCUGUUGGUUUCUGCGCUUAUGAGAUCGGUUGGAUCUGGAUCCCCUAACGGGCCAAGGCAAUGGAGAUGUGGUCGAUCAGUGGGGAUGACAAUUUUGUUAGCCGAUUCCUAAUGGUUUUGGAGAUAUAAAAAAAAACAAAAAAAGGAGAAGGGGGAAAAAUAUUCAGUACGGCGGAUUGCAGAUGAACGAGGGUGCGAGAAAAGUACAAGAGAUGGUGCGAAGGACUAACCUCAGGGAUGAUGAAGUUGACGGCCAUUUUGCCACGGAGGAGAAGCUUGAGAGUUUUGGAGUUGGUGAAGAAGGAGCCUCAUCGGAGAUCUUGUAGCUUUUGGAACAGCGCCGCUGCCGGGAAGGUGAGGUUGGAGUUGUGGAAUGAUGUGAUGGAGAAGGAGUACCCGAGAAGGAACUACUUAUAGGACAAAACGGGCAGGGGCAAAUCUGACUUAUCUCUUUGCCGCAUCUGAGAAAUCCGAGGGUGCUCAGGUAGAUAUGGUAACUGUUUGCACGGUAAUCAAGGGAUUGUGUAGGAGAUUUGACAGAAAGCGGUCAUUAUUCAGAGAUAUUUCAUUGUGCGAGAUCUCCUGGUCGGUCCAUCGGCGAUGUCUUGUAACGGUCAUAUUGCCGAUGGGCAGAUAAAGUGGAGAUAGCCGUUUGGGAACAUAAGGUACGAGCAUCCUGGUCAGUCCAUCGGCAAAUCUUUGUAACGGUAAUAUUGCCGAUGUGCGACCAAAAAGGAAAUAUCCGUUUAGGAAGUUGAAGAUUUCAAGGGGUUUACAAAAGAACAAGGUCAGAGUUGUUCAGAUUGAGGUUGUCGGUUACCAGGUUAGGAGCAUUAAUUGCGGGAAAAGGCAUCAUUACUGCAGAGAAUUUCGGAGGAUCUCAUACUCCGAAAUUGGGGGGCAUGUGUUGACACCGUUUUUGGGCACGUGUCCAUGUUUGGUAGAGUACAGGCCGGUAGGAUAGGACGACGGUAUUUUGUCUACAGGAUGAAUUGCCGAUGAGGGUGGUUGCCGAUGAAGGAGAGAUUGAACGUGACUAAAUCUAUAGAUGGUGAUUUGUCUGUGCCGAUGGCUACGACAGGGAAGUCUGCCGAUGACUAUGACAAGGGAGUCUGUUGAUGAAACGGAGGGAGAGUCCGGGAGUUGCCGAUCGGUUUGUGGAGAUGUUCCAGCUUGUCACGGGGGGAUAGCUUUAUGUUUUCCUUAGUUAUUUAAAUCGUUUUGUAUACGGAUUCUAUGUAAUUUGGAAUUCGAAUUCUAGUCGUGUCUGGUUGUAACUCUUUGAGCAGGGUAUAAAUAUAGACCCUAGGGCCUUGUAAUGAGGGAUCAAUCAAUCAAUCAAACACACGCUUUUACUCAUAUUCCAGCAUCUACUUUUUUUCGACGACUUCGUCAUACUUUUUCCUUUUCAUUACGAGUUCUUAGGAAUUCGUCGACUUAAGCUCGGCGCGUUCUCAAGUUCCGCGUGAGUACCUCUUAGCCGUGACAUCCGGGCCCAUCGCUGUUGUCAGGACUAAAGUAUUCGAGUUACCACCUUUGCCGAUAGUAAGGUCAAAUCGGCUGGCACGCCUUAACGUUUGAAUCGGGUAUUAGCCCUUUGUGUUUGCAGAUCAAUUUUUGCACCAACACAGUCUCAAGUUAAUCCGCAGCCUCAAGCGCGAUAAAGACAAGCUUAAAGCAGAGGUUGCAGCCCUCCAAGAAGAAAUUCAGGGCCUCAACAAUAAAGGGCAGCCAUAGUUGCCUAGUUACCUAUUAAUAAGGCACAAUUCCGCUAGGCUUGGUUAGCUAGUUAGGUCAGUUGAAUCAUAAAUUUUUCUUAGGACAAAGCCUAAUGAGCUAGGGUAGUCGUUAAAGCAUUUGUUAAAUUAUAUAUUAUCACUGCCAUGAAUAAAGUGCAUUAUCUUUUAUUUACUCUAUUCUCUAUAUUUCUUUUGGUAUGUGUUUGUCUCCACAUAUUGCGCAGAAAAGUAUAUAGGAAAACAAGUGUGGGGGAGGCACAUUGCAGUCACGAAACGAAAAUUUGAUCGGGAAAAUAGCAUAAUCUGGAACACAAUCGAACCAAGACCAUGCACAGCAAAGCGGGCCCCACAUUACCCAAUAGUGGGGCCGACCGACGCCUAGGUGGGGCCGGGCAGCGCCGUGCUCGCUCGCCUUCCCUCUCGCUUCUGUCACGGUCAGGUUUGAGUUGAUUACAGUAUAAUUGCAUACAUCUUACCUUGAAUUGUCAUCUGAAUCAUGAAUCUUUAUAUUAAAUAUUUUUAAGAAAUAAUAAACACCAUUUAAUCUAUGACUUGAAAAUAAAUUAUAUAACCCUUUUCUAGAGUCAUGUUAAUUGUGAAAUUUAUAGUACUUCAUGAUUGCUUAAGUUAUUGUGGAAAGAGAGGUAGCAAAAUAAUGAGUACUCAAUUCCUGAUAAUUUGUCUUUGGAGAUUUUCUUUCAAAAAGGUAAAAACAAUUAGCUUCACCUCUCUUUGUAUUGGAAUCAAUAAUAAUCAUAUCAUUCUAUUAUUAUGACUUUGGUUGAGAGAUUUAUCAUAUUCCUAGUAUCAUAAAAUAUAAAUGAAAAUGAAAUAAAAACAUAAUACACUCUCUUGAAGCACUAUUAUGAAGGAGGCAUGAACUAUUCAUAAAGAAAUCCGAGAAAAUAAAAAGGGACAAGUGUCCGAAACCUCAAAAAGAUAGAUCACAAGGAAAUAAAAAGGGACAAGUGUCCGGAACCUCGAUUCGAAAAAAAAGAGAGAGCUCAUGGUUCCUCCAACAUAAUAUGCCAAGGAGUGGAUGAUUUGUCUGAUCCAAGAAUAUGAUAUUUCCCUCCCUGGUUAUAAACAUCAAAUUAAUAUCACAACAAUUGAUGCCACCACAAUUAAGAGAAGGUCGAAGCUAUGUUUUAUUUGCAAACUCCACUUACUCUCUAGUAGACAAAAUUUAAGGAAGAGAGUAGUCUAUUUUAAGCUAUCCUACUCUACAAUCACUAUAGAAUUCAUGAUAAACACUUUAAAUUUCCACAAUGCAUGAUGGCUAGACUAGUUUUAUAUAAUUUAAUUUCCAAGUUAUGCAUUAAAUGUUUACUCAUUAUGAUAGAACCAACCUUUUUAUUGGGACGAGUAAAAGCCUAAGUGUGGGGGUAAUUGUUGACACUUGUUAAGUCACAAUAUUUGUUAGCAUUUAUUUCUCCACCAGGUAUGAAUAUCUACUAGAAUAGGGUUGUUAUUGACAAUUUCCACGAGUUUUGCAUAUUCUGUGUUUUCCAGGGUUUAUUUUAGAAAGAGCUGAAAAGAGGGAUUCAAGUGCAAAAUAAACACGAAACUUAUCCGCGACGCAACAACACCGCCAACGGGACGUGGGAAGACUCUGGAAGACACCCGAAGAGCCGGGAGGCCAGAGGCCGCUAGGUGGGGCCGGCUGGCCCCACCCUAGCACUGGCCGACGCCCCCCUGCUAGGGUUUUGGCCCCCGUUCCGAAAGCUUCCUCCACCGCCUCGGAAGAGCCAUCUUGGCCGCUUGUUAAGUCAGUUUGAUCAAACAUCGCGUAUCCAUCCCACCGGGCUAUAAAUAGAAGGCUAGACCCCCUGCAGGAGGCCAAAUCAAGAGAUGAAGAGUCAGAGCAUUAGAUAGAUAUUAACUAGAUCUAGGCUAGCACUCAAGAUAGAGAUUAGAGAGAUAGAGUAGAGGAGUAGAGAUUUGGAGGAGUCCUGGCCUGUUGGAGCUUCCUGAGGAGCUGUAUUCAUCUGGAUUCGGCUCCCUUGCCCGGAGCUGCAUUCUGAGAUACUUUUGUAUUUAUCAUUCUGAUUCAGUAAGCAACUUGUUUUUAUUUGUUCUUUGGUUUGCAACUCAUAUUAUAUUGAGUAUUUCGAUUUGGGUAGCUCCUAGGUUGGAGUAGUGAUUCAUAGCGUAGAUAUGGUGUUUGGGCUAUGGUUGCUUGUAGAUGUCCCGUAAUCAGCCGGACAGUGGUAGCUCACGUAGGUGACUUUAUAGCUACGUUGAAUCCGCUAUAGUCCACUUCCCGUUGAUAGGACCGAUGGGCUUAUAGGUGCCUGAUAGGAGAUUACUCUAUUUCUUCUCCUAUUCAGGUUACUUGCCCGAUAAUACGAUAUUAUACAAAGCUUACCGAUUAUUAGAAUCAGAGUACAUUAGCUAUUUCCUCAUUCUCAAUAGUUUUCUAAAUUGAUUGUACCCCCCUUAGAUUAAGAGUUAUAGACUAGGUCAUAAAUCACCUACUGUUCCUAUGGGUUCGAUAUUAAAAUCAGGUUGAUCUUGGUGAAGUGUUGAUCAAUAUAUAUCUGUGCGCUUGCGGAUAAUCUGAGUAUAAUCAAUAUUUAGGGUGCAGUUAAUUUAUACCAACCAGCCUCCCCCUGGUCGCCUCCAACCCUAGGUCGCCUCUCUUUUAUAUUUCAUGCAUCCGCCGCUGUUUAGACUUGGCUUUUGUUUAGAGUUUAGUUCUCAAACGAGAAACUGAAUCGUUCAUUGUAACGGUAGUGACAAAUUCUUUUGCAGCGAUCCAGGGCCUCCAUUCUUGAUCUCCUCCACUAUGUCGAUUAGUCCUUUAGAACCGAGUUCUUGAACCCUCUUUGAAUAUUCAUGUCAUUCAUAUUUGCAAUUUUAGAUUGCGCGUUUAUAUUUUCUAGCAUGUGUUCUUUGAUUUGCUUGUAGGAACAACCUUCUUGGCGAGGUCAAUCAAAUUGUGCUUGGUUGAUAACCAACAGAGCAGUGGUGUAAUGGUUGUAGGGUUCGAAUCAUGCUGAUUUGAAGCUGGAUCGCUGUUGACGGUCCUUAAUGCUCACAUUUAACCGUCAACUAAUCAUAAAAAAGGAUCCAAAUGCAACCAACACCUAGACUUAGGGUUUCAUCUGUUAAAUUUCACGAGUUUUGGUGUUUGUCUAUUUCUGCAGGGGGGUUAUCAGGAAAUACGAAGAAAAGGCCCACACGUCGGGUUUACAAAGAGAAUUAAUGUGUGCGGUAAUUUUCCAUAAUCAGGAAGACUCUAGAAGCAACUCGACCGAAGCGGAGCCAAGACGGGCCCGGGGCUAGGGCGCCCGCCCUUGAUCCUAGGGCGCCCGCCCUGGUACAAGCACCAAUCACAGAAUGGAGUACACCAUUACAAAGAUCUCGUCGAGCUGAUCGAAAUGCAUAUAUUAUUUGUUAUGUUUGGAGUUCGGAAUCAAGAGAUAUUAAUAAAAAAAGAACUCCACAUAAAAGAGCUGCGGGAUUAAUUGGGCCUAAAUCAAAUUUUGGUCCAUUAAGGCCUAUGUGCAUUUUAAUGAGAUAUGGUGGAAAUUUUAGUACCACAUCGCCUGCUGAACCAAAAAGGCACAAAGGAGGAGGCUAUAUAAGCAAGGCUUCUGGCCCCUGGAGGAGAACACAUCAUUAUAGAGUUGAGAGGUGCCCUCGAAGGAUAACCUUUCCUCUAUAGAGAAUUAGGGCUAGACAUUCCAAUGUAGUAGAUUAGUUCUAGUAGGGAGUUAGGGAGAGCGGAGCUGUGCUUCGGUUCUGGAGAAGUCUUCAGAGUUUUGGUAUGCCUUUAUAUUUAUUGUAAGACUUAUGCUUUAAUAUAUUUAUCUUCUCUAUUUACUUUUAUGCCUUUAUUAUUAUCGAGUAGUGUAGUUGUUAUAUUUUGGCAUAGGAUCUCCGUUCGCAUCGAGUGCUCUAGUUAUUCAUGGCAAUUAGAGUAGUAAUCGUUAGUGUAGACGUGGUGUCUAUACUAUAAGUUACCUGAGGUUGCACCCAGUCCUGCGGAUUGUUGUGGUAGCCUUAGGGUAGUGACAGCCCUAACGGUCGACGUAUUCCACCUCGUUCGGAUCGGUGUUUGUAGGACCGUAGUCAGAGCUUCCCCUUCCAGUUCUCUUUCUGUGGUUGGUGUUCUGAUGUCCCAAAGUGCUAAUAUGUGAUUGCUAUAUCUAUUCAUUCUUUGUUAUCAUAGAAUUGAAGUAAUAGAGAAGUAUACUGGAACCCAGGUCUAUCCCGUUGUCCUCCCGCUAUGGCUAUCUACGCAUUUAUCAUAGAACUCACCUUUAUAUUAUUACCUAUCAUAUAUCAUUUACCCCUACUUUAGUCUAGUUGGUUUAUUAAAUUAGUAGAUGCAUGAUAGUAAGUUAUCAGAUUCUUUGACCUUAGCUUCCCAGUGGUAAAAUAUAAAUAACGAUACUUGGAAUACUCCCGGUAAAAUGCUACGAUGAUGUUCUGUGCGCUUGCGGAAUUUUUUUAUUCUUAUUGCACUUAACGAAUGUCAACAAGCAUUUAUGUUGCUGUUGCCGGGGAAGCAAUUGGUGUGAAGAUUUUGAUAAUGAUCUUGAUGUGUGCUAAUUUAAUGUAUCACUAGCUUUAGUAGGUUUAUUGUAUUUAUCUUUUCUGCAUUUAUUUUUAGCAUCAUCAUUUCUCCAUAACAUAUUUAUCUUUCUACAUUAUUAUUGCAUUAGAAAAUAUAAUAAAAAUAUUUUAUAUAACUCAUUGCAUUUUAAAUACUAAAACCCCAUGUGAAUAAAUUGUGUGGUGUGUAAAAGCCAACACGGAUAUUCACCGUGGUGGAAGAAAAAAUAUAUAAAUAAAUAAAAGUAAAUAAACAUGCAUUCAUCCUGUUCCAUUUCCUUUUGCUUCAUAAAAAGAUUAAAACCCAAAAAAAUAUAUAUAUAUUAAGAAAGAGAUCUUGUUGAAACUCUGCUUAGAAAAAGAAUUAAGAAAAAUCUAAAAAGCUUGGACAACUAAGGCUUAAGUGGCCAACUACUUGUUGACGGUCCUUAAUGCUCACAUUUAACCGUCAACUAAUCAUGAAAAAGGAUCCAAAUGCAACCGACACCUAGACUUAGGGUUUCAUCUGACAGAUUUCCACGAGUUUUGGUGUUUGUCUAUUUCUACAGGGGGUUAUCAGGAAAUACAAAGGAAAUGCCCACACGUCGGUAUUACAUAGAGAUAUUAACGUGUCGUGCAAUUUUCUAUCAUCUAGAAGACUCCAGAAGCCACGGGAACGAACGGGAGGCCGAACGGGCCCGGGGGCAGGGCGCCCGCCCUCCCCCCUUGGGCGCCCGCCCUGGUACAAGCACCAAUCAUAGAAUGGAGUACACCAUUACAAAGAUCUCGUCGAGCUGAUCGAAAUGCAUAUAUUAUUUGCUUAUUUGGAGUUUGGAAUCAAGAGAUAUUAAUAAAAGAAGGACUCCACAUAAAAGAGCUGCGGGAUUAAUUGGGCCCAAAUCAUAUUUUGGUCCAUUAAGGCCUAUGUGCAUUUUAAUGAGAUAUGGUGAAAAGUUUAGUACCACAUUGCCUGCUGAACCAAAAAGGCACAAAGGAGGAGGACUAUAUAAGCAAGGCCCCUGGCCCCUGGAGGAGAACACAUCAUUAUAGAGUUGAGAGGUGCCCUCGAAGGAUAACCUUCCUCUAUAGAGAAUUAGGGCUAGACAUUCCAAUGUAGUAGAUUAGUUCUAGUCGGGAGUUAGGGAGAGCGGAGCCGCGCUUCAGUUCUGGAGAAGUCUUCAGAGUUUUGGUAUGCCUUUAUAUUUAUUGUAAGACUUAUGCUUUAAUAUAUUUAUCUUCUCUAUUUACUUUUAUGCCUUUAUUAUUAUCGAGUAGUGUAGUUGUUAUAUUUUGGCAUAGGAUCUCCGUUCGCAUCGAGUGCUCUAGUUAUUCAUGGUAAUUAGAGUAGUAAUCGUUAGUGUAGACGUAGUGUCUAUACUAGAGGUUACCUGAGCUUGCACCUAGUCCUGCGGAUUGUUGUGGUAGCCCUAGGGUAGUGACAGCCCUAACGGUCGACGUAUUCCACCUCGUUCGGAUCGGUGUUUGUAGGACCGUAGUCAGAGCUUCCCAGCCCCCUUCCAGUUCUCUUUCUGUGGUUGGUGUUCUGAUGUUGCAAAGUGCUAAUAUGUGAUUGCUAUAUCUAUUCAUUCUUUGUUAUCAUAGAACUGAAGUAAUAGAGAAGUAUACAGGAACCCAGGUCUCUCCCGUUGUCCUCCCGCUAUGGCUAUCUACGCAUUUAUCAUAGAAUUCUCACCUUUAUAUUAUUACCUAUCAUAUAUCAUUUACCCCUACUUUAGUCUAGUUGGUUUAUUAAAUUAGUAGAUGCAUGAUAGUAAGUUAUCAGAUUCUUUGACCUUAGCUUCCCAGUGGUAAAAUAUAAAUAACGAUACUUGGAAUACUCCCGGUAAAAUGCUACGAUGAUGUUCUGUGCGCUUGCAGAAUUUUUCUUAUUCUUAUUGCACUUAACGAAUGUCAACAAGAAUUUAUGUUGCUGUUGCCGGGGAAGCAAUUGGUGUGAAGAUUUUGAUAAUGAUCUUGAUGUGUGCUAAUUUAAUGUAUCACUAGCUUUAGUAGGUUUAUUGUAUUUAUCUUUUCUGCAUUUAUUUUUAGCAUCAUCAUUUCUCCAUAACAUAUUUAUCUUUCUACAUUAUUAUUGCAUUAGAAAAUAUAAUAAAAAUAUUUUAUAUAACUCAUUGCAUUUUAAAUACUAAAACCCCAUGUGAAUAAAUUGUGUGGUGUGUAAAAGCCAACACGGAUAUUCACCGUGGUGGAAGAAAAAAUAUAUAAAUAAAUAAAAGUAAAUAAACAUGCAUUCAUCCUGUUCCAUUUCCUUUUGCUUCAUAAAAAGAUUAAAACCCAAAAAAAUAUAUAUAUAUUAAGAAAGAGAUCUUGUUGAAACUCUGCUUAGAAAAAGAAUUAAGAAAAAUCUAAAAAGCUUGGACAACUAAGGCUUAAGUGGCCAACUACUUGUUGACGGUCCUUAAUGCUCACAUUUAACCGUCAACUAAUCAUGAAAAAGGAUCCAAAUGCAACCGACACCUAGACUUAGGGUUUCAUCUGACAGAUUUCCACGAGUUUUGGUGUUUGUCUAUUUCUACAGGGGGUUAUCAGGAAAUACAAAGGAAAUGCCCACACGUCGGUAUUACAUAGAGAUAUUAACGUGUCGUGCAAUUUUCUAUCAUCUAGAAGACUCCAGAAGCCACGGGAACGAACGGGAGGCCGAACGGGCCCGGGGGCAGGGCGCCCGCCCCCCCCCUUGGGCGCCCGCCCUGGUACAAGCACCAAUCAUAGAAUGGAGUACACCAUUACAAAGAUCUCGUCGAGCUGAUCGAAAUGCAUAUAUUAUUUGCUUAUUUGGAGUUUGGAAUCAAGAGAUAUUAAUAAAAGAAGGACUCCACAUAAAAGAGCUGCGGGAUUAAUUGGGCCCAAAUCAUAUUUUGGUCCAUUAAGGCCUAUGUGCAUUUUAAUGAGAUAUGGUGAAAAGUUUAGUACCACAUUGCCUGCUGAACCAAAAAGGCACAAAGGAGGAGGACUAUAUAAGCAAGGCCCCUGGCCCCUGGAGGAGAACACAUCAUUAUAGAGUUGAGAGGUGCCCUCGAAGGAUAACCUUCCUCUAUAGAGAAUUAGGGCUAGACAUUCCAAUGUAGUAGAUUAGUUCUAGUCGGGAGUUAGGGAGAGCGGAGCCGCGCUUCAGUUCUGGAGAAGUCUUCAGAGUUUUGGUAUGCCUUUAUAUUUAUUGUAAGACUUAUGCUUUAAUAUAUUUAUCUUCUCUAUUUACUUUUAUGCCUUUAUUAUUAUCGAGUAGUGUAGUUGUUAUAUUUUGGCAUAGGAUCUCUAUUCGCAUCGAGUGCUCUAGUUAUUCAUGGUAAUUAGAGUAGUAAUCGUUAGUGUAGACGUAGUGUCUAUACUAGAGGUUACCUGAGCUUGCACCUAGUCCUGCGGAUUGUUGUGGUAGCCCUAGGGUAGUGACAGCCCUAACGGUCGACGUAUUCCACCUCGUUCGGAUCGGUGUUUGUAGGACCGUAGUCAGAGCUUCCCAGCCCCCUUCCAGUUCUCUUUCUGUGGUUGGUGUUCUGAUGUUGCAAAGUGCUAAUAUGUGAUUGCUAUAUCUAUUCAUUCUUUGUUAUCAUAGAACUGAAGUAAUAGAGAAGUAUACAGGAACCCAGGUCUCUCCCGUUGUCCUCCCGCUAUGGCUAUCUACGCAUUUAUCAUAGAAUUCUCACCUUUAUAUUAUUACCUAUCAUAUAUCAUUUACCCCUACUUUAGUCUAGUUGGUUUAUUAAAUUAGUAGAUGCAUGAUAGUAAGUUAUCAGAUUCUUUGACCUUAGCUUCCCAGUGGUAAAAUAUAAAUAACGAUACUUGGAAUACUCCCGGUAAAAUGCUACGAUGAUGUUCUGUGCGCUUGCAGAAUUUUUCUUAUUCUUAUUGCACUUAACGAAUGCCAACACUACUAAUGUUUAAUCGGUGCCACAAGUUUUGUUGUCCAUUUGAGUUUAACAUGAUUUAAAGAGAGAAUCCCCAAUGAUCAAGAUAUCUUCAUCAACUUGAAGCGCUGCAAUCAUCACUGACACUUUGAAGCUCAAGAAUAUUGAAGAACAUCUGUGUUGUGCGGAUUCAAGAUUAAAGGCUAUGUCAACAUUUAGCUUGGUGGAAAGCAAUCCCGUUAUCUUCGCGAUUUAGGCUUGAAGUAAAAGAGUGAAGAAUAACAACGAGGUAUGUCCAACCAAUCAUCAUGCAACAUUGAAUUAAAUUCAUCCAAACUUGACUUGUUCAAGCUGGGGGGAAUACCAUACACAAAAACAUCCUUUGCCAUGUUGCUAUGUUGGUUGUCCCUACCCUUAAGACAUGCUCAAUUUGUUAAACACUAAUCAUUCUACUUCAUCCCCACUUGAGUAGAUCCCUAUAAUGUUGUCAUGCUAUCUUUGUCUAUUCACAAGUAAGUGUUGGUUUGGAAGUACUCGACAUACUUCCAUUGGCAUUUAAAUUAAGCAUGGUGCUUAGGUUAAAUAGCCUUCCUUAAUCCGAUUAGACAUGGAGUCUAGUUUGGUUAUUGAACUAAAAACUUCUUGUGUAGACACUGGUAUAUUUUGUUGGACUAUCCCCUGCAGGAAAGUUUUCAAUAUCGAUUUGAGAAGUCCUGAGAUAAAUUCAGAAUGGAGAUAAAGAGGGAGACACAUGAAGUUUAACAAUUUGCACAAGAAAGACAUAGCUCGUCCAUCAUAGAGAGAUAAUACAUGGAACGAGACGAAGAGUGCCACGAACAAGAUGCACAACCAUUGAGAAAGAAAAGCUUCCACAAGGUGAUAUUGUACCAUCACUCUUCAAUUAAGGUAACAUCUUAAGGUAUGUGACUGUCACUGUUAUAAGCUUCUCCUUGAUUCUAGCAUGCACAUGGAUAAAAAGACAAACAUGUAUGAUUUAUAACUCAGAAUUAACCAAUCCAAUUGAUUCAACAUGUUUAGUCCUUUAAUCUUUGUUUCUGGUACUACCUUCUUGAUCCCACAGUCUUAACCAUAUGAGCUAAAAUGUUGUACAUCCGAUCUUUGGAAAAUGAUAGUCAUGUAAAGAAAAAAACAUUUACUUAGAUAGAUUAUCUUUCCAUAAGGUUGAGUGAUCUCAUCUGACAAAUGUUUUAACUGAUACACUCAUGAUCUUAUCAUCCAUCAACUUUGUCUUGCUCACUAUGCUUAAGGUUAGAGAAGAACAAAUACACUUUUGGUUCUGUUAGUGUUUUACACCAACAGGGCCCAUGCACUUGAUCUCUACCUUGUCUCUAUGAGCAGGAUACACUUCGAGCAAAACAUGGAGAAGUUUUCCAACUCCCAGACUCUACCAAGUGAAGGACCUGGAUCUACGAGCACAAACACACUGAGGAGGAUGCUGCCAUCUUCGCACUUCGAACUGCUGGGCAAACGAAAAACAUGGGUGACACCGUAUCAAGAGGUGCAGAUGUCAAGGUCCACACCUAACUCAAAUGACGCACCUAAAGAAUGAACACGGUGAGAAGUCUUGUUCAGAAGACUUAAAAUAUUGAACCCUCACCGAAAGGUAAAAUCGGUAGUUAUCCAUAUUUAUCCUUUCUGCAUUCCCUUUUUUUCUUAAAUUAUUUACUUUCCUCAAAUAGCUUGUUAGUUAAUCAUGCUAUCUUGAAAAGAAAAUAAAAAUGUUAAAAACAGUAAGCCCCAUGUGAGUAUGCUCGUGGCAUAAAACCCAUUCACUGUGGUGGCGUAAAAAUAAAAUAAAUAUAUUCUUGUCCUGUAAAAAUGAAAAUAUAAAAAUAAAUUUUUGAUCCUAUUAAAGAGAGUAAUAUUUAUUAGAGGAAGCUCAAAAUGAUAAAGGCUAAGAGAUUUUAUGCUAACACUUAACCAGUUCCACGAAGCUUUGUUGUCUAUUUGAGCUCCACAGAAUUCAAGGAUCAAGGAAGACUAGCAGACGGAGGAUAUCCUAAUCGCUAUCAGGGUGCUGCCAACAUUCAAAUACACCUACGCCACCUGCUAGCUACAUCAAAAGAAAUUACGUUAAAAUCUAGCUUGGGGGAGAGCACCCCCAUUUAUCCAGCUAAGUGUUUCUACUCACAUUUAUACCUUACUCAAAUAAUAAAAAAUACAUAAUCAUAAAAAUCCAAUUAAACAUUUUGUGCUUAUAUAUAUCUUUGCUUAGUUUGCUAAAUAAAUAAAUAAAGUGUCUAUGCCAAACUGAACUUCGAUGAUAAACUCUUACAUGGAUAUGAUGAAUAGUUGCUCUACCAAGUACCUAGUUUUCAAAUUUGAGCUCUCUCUCAAGUUUAGGCAUAACUGUUAUAAUUUAAAGCUUGCUCUAAACCUGAAUUUGCGGGAAGAGUACCUAAUCAAAAGUCUAAGUCGUUAACAGAUAUGAUAUGGGAAGGUUGAGCUGUUGUUUAUCUGUUCCUAGAGAUGCUAGAAUUCUGGAGAAUUUUAUCUUUGAAAAUCUUUAAAAUGUUGCAUGAUGAGUUCCUGUAUGAUGAGAGUUUUAAAUCCUACCACAGCCAUAUAUACAUGCUUAUUAGACUAUGAACCAUACAUUUACUUUUUACUGCUUAUGAGCAUCGAGUGUGGUCAAGCUAUGUAGACCCUUAGGAGCUUGUCAUGCGGUUAAAAUCAUGAUUCACUUGCACGUUCACUCAUACAUGCUACUUCUACUCUGGAAGUACGCAUCCACAUACAUCCACUCAUUUCCAUCGCCAGAUUCACCCAAAAUUAUUCUACUCCUAUCCGGGAGAGAAUAGCCAAAAACAUUAUCCUAUCCCUGUUAUUCCCCGUGAAAUAAAUGCUCGAGAUAUUUUGGUUACUACCACUUGCUACAUUAUUCCAGGAGGGUGAGUGCUCUGAAAAAAAAUGAAUACGAGGAAAUAAAAAGGGGCAAGUGCUCGGAACCUCGAAGAAAAGAAAAAGUAAGACGAGAGGUAAAAAUGGACAAGUGUCCGACAAUAGAAUUAGGGGUACAAGAUACCCACCUGAGAGAAAAGAAAAAAGAAAAUAUAGAGCAUCUCAUUCCCCUCAAAAAGCUUCAAAGUGCAAGAAAGGUAUGUAUCCCCUCAAAAGAGCAAACGUAGAAUUAGACUUUCACCAUUAUCACCAUCAUCACCAUACACCAUUCAUUCGCCACACAUGCACAUCUUGAUUUGACUUAUUGACUUGUUCUUCUGGAUCCAUGGUUUGACUAUGCAACAAAUGUCUUGUAUGUAUGUAUACUUUAUCUCCCACCUAUGACCUCCAGAUAUCAAAACCUUAUUAGAGUAGGGUGAGAAAGAAGGCAAUACCACUAUGCCUCAUACCAAAAAUACCACAUACUUUGAGAGAAGGCAUACACCAUUACUGCCUUGGUAAGGAUCCAGAAAUACCACAAAAGAGAGACUGGAGAGAGUCAUACAAGGAAUCUCUGAGUUUUAUUUGAAAAUCUGCAAAAACUCUAGAGCUAUAGUUAAUUGAAGAAUAAGAGACAUGGCGCUUGACUAGACCGUACUAUCUUUUAACUGCUAAAGACAUAAGUGAUGGUUGCAAGCCCCAUGGUGAAAGGUAAAAUGAGUAAGUUUAAAUCUUAACAGUUUACCCUAACCCAGAGAUGAGAUCUUGUUUGAAAGCAUGUGUACCUUUAAGGCAUGAAACCACUGC